rnacentral:rRNA from 1 species
CCGCUGAACUUAAGCAUAUCAAUAAGCGGAGGAAAAGAAACCAACAGGGAUUGCCCUAGUAACGGCGAGUGAAGCGGCAACAGCUCAAAUUUGAAAUCUGGCCCUCGGGUCCGAAUUGUAAUUUGUAGAGGAUGUUUUUGGUGCGGUAUCUUCCGAGUUCCUUGGAACAGGACGCCUUAGAGGGUGAGAGCCCCGUACGGUUGAAUGCCUAGCCUUUGUAAAACUCAUUCGACGAGUCGAGUAGUUUGGGAAUGCUGCUCUAAAUGGGAGGUAAAUUUCUUCUAAAGCUAAAUACUGGCCAGAGACCGAUAGCGCACAAGUAGAGUGAUCGAAAGAUGAAAAGCACUUUGAAAAGAGGGUUAAAUAGCACGUGAAAUUGUUGAAAGGGAAGGAUUUAUGACCAGACUUUUUCUAGGCGAAUCAUCCGGUGUUCUCACCGGUGCACUUCGUUUAGUUUAGGCCAGCAUCGAUUUUCGGGGUGGGAUAAAAGCUUUAGGAAUGUGGCUCCCUCGGGAGUGUUAUAGCCUAUUGUAUAAUACCGCCCUGGGGAUCGAGGUACGCGCUUCUGCAAGGAUGCUGGCGUAAUGGUUAUCAAUCACCCGUCUUGAAACACGGACCAAGGAGUCGAACAUUUGUGCAAGUGUUUGGGUGUUAAACCCUCACGCGUAAUGAAAGUGAACGGAGGUGAGAGCCCUUACGGGUGCAUCAUCGACCGAUCCUGAUGUCUUCGGAUGGAUUUGAGUAAGAGCAUAACUGUUCGGACCCGAAAGAUGGUGAACUAUGCGUGGAUAGGGUGAAGCCAGAGGAAACUCUGGUGGAGGCUCGCAGCGGUUCUGACGUGCAAAUCGAUCGUCAAAUCUGCGCAUGGGGGCGAAAGACUAAUCGAACC